rnacentral:rRNA from 1 species
UACGUAGGGUGCAAGCGUUGUCCGGAAUUAUUGGGCGUAAAGAGCUCGUAGGCGGUUUGUUGCGUCGGCUGUGAAAUCCCGAGGCUCAACCUCGGGUCUGCAGUCGAUACGAGCAAACUAGAGUGUUGCAGGGGAGACUGGAAUUCCUGGUGUAGCGGUGAAAUGCGCAGAUAUCAGGAGGAACACCGGUGGCGAAGGCGGGUCUCUGGGACGGUACUGACGCUGAGACGCGAAAGCUAGGGGAGCGAACAGG